rnacentral:rRNA from 1 species
UACAGAGGGUGCAAGCAUUAAUCGGAUUUAUUGGGCGUAAAGGGCGCGUAGGCGGGGAUAAUAGUCAGAUGUGAAAUCCUGGGGCUCAACCUCAGAACUGCAUUUGAAACUGUAUCCCUAGAGGGUAGGAGGAGAAAGCGGAAUUCCACAAGUAGCGGUGAAAUGCGUAGAUAUGUGGAAGAACACCGGUGGCGAAGGCGGUUUUCUAUCUUAUUCCUGACGCUAAUGCGCGAAAGCAAGGGGAUCAAACAGG